UAACCCGUCACCUCUACGAGGACCCUCGGCGUCACUCUCCGGGCGCCCUCACAGACCUCCGGUCGGCGCUGGUGAACAACACUAUAUUCGCCACGCUCGCUGCCAGACACGGGUUCCACAAGUAUUUCCGACACAUGUCGCCCGGUCUUAACGAAGUAUUAACUAAAUACAUUAAGAUUCAAGAAGAGAACGGCCAUUCUAUAAGCGAGGAGCACUAUUUAAUACAAGAGGACGAAAUGGAACAAGCUGAAGACGUGGAAGUUCCAAAGGCCUUAGGAGACCUCUUCGAAUCAGUGGCUGGGGCGAUUUUCCUAGACUCGGGUAUGU